rnacentral:lncRNA from 1 species
ACAUAUCUUGUACAUCCUUUGAACCUUUUUUUUUGUUUCAAAUCUGGAUUGUGAAAAGUAGCUUUUAUGAGCUUUUUUUUUAGCCUGGACCCUAAGUAUACAAGUUGUAGAAUCUGAACUCAACACAACACACUCACACCACACACACGCACACCUCUAGAGCCUACAACCUAUACACACAACCAGCGUCCUUCUGGAGAUCACCAAAGCCGCACAGAGCCUUGUAGACGACGGGCACAGUCCAGGACCUGCAGGAAACAAAUACGGGGAAUAAACCCCCAGUGCGACACCCGGUGCUCCCAAGGGGAGUCGAACCCGGGUGGGUGCGCUCCACAACCGGAGCCGCCACCAUCGCGCCACAGGUG